rnacentral:rRNA from 1 species
CCUACGGGAGGCAGCAGUGGGGAAUAUUGCACAAUGGGCGCAAGCCUGAUCCAGCCACGCCGCGUGAAGGAAGAAGGCCUUCGGGUUGUAAACUUCUUUUAGCAGGGACGAAGGAAGUAACGGUACUUGCCUUAUACACCAAGGCUACCUGCGGACCAGCAACCGCCGCACUACGUGGGAGGCAAGCGUUAUCCGGAAUUAGUGGGGGUAAUGGGCGUGUAGGCGGGUCGUCAAGUCAGAUGUGAAAACCACGGGCUCAACCUGUGGACUGCAUUUGAAACUGGAGUUCUUGAGUACUGGAGAGGGAGGCGGAAUUCCUGGUGUAGCGGUGAAAUGCGUAGAGAUCAGGAGGAACACCGGUGGCGAAGGCGGUCUGCUGGACAGCAACUGACGCUGAGGCGCGAAAGCGUGGGGAGCAAACAGGAUUAGAUACCCGGGUAGUC